rnacentral:rRNA from 1 species
GUCAACGGCCAUAUCACGUAGAACGCACCUGGUCUCGUCAGCUCCCAGAAGUUAAGUUACGUCGAGUCCCGUUAGUACUUGGAAGGGUGA